GAUGAACGCUAGCGGGAGGCUUAACACAUGCAAGUCGAGGGGCAGCAUGGGGUAGCAAUACCCUGAUGGCGACCGGCAAACGGGUGAGUAACGCGUAUGUAACCUACCCUGUACAGGGGGAUAACCCGGAGAAAUUCGGACUAAUAUCCCAUAACAAUAUCUGGAGGCAUCUUUGGAUAUUUAAAGUUCCGGCGGUACGGGAUGGGCAUGCGUAACAUUAGCUAGUUGGUAAGGUAACGGCUUACCAAGGCUUUGAUGUUUAGGGGUCCUGAGAGGGUGGUCCCCCCACACUGGUACUGAGACACGGACCAGACUCCUACGGGAGGCAGCAGUGAGGAAUAUUGGUCAAUGGGCGCAAGCCUGAACCAGCCAUCCCGCGUGCAGGAAGACGGCCCUAUGGGUUGUAAACUGCUUUUCCAGGGAGAGAAACUUGCGCACGUGUUGCGCAAUUGACGGUACCCUGGGAAUAAGCAUCGGCUAACUCCCGUGC
rnacentral:rRNA from 1 species